UGGAUGCCUUUCAGAACCUUAAUGAAGCUUGUUCAAAGCUUGGACAUCUAGCUUUAAACAACUGUCAGUUGCCAGUACCUGUCAAUACAAAGAAGGAAGAAUCACUUGCACGUAUUCUCAGGUUAAGAGAACAAGUGGCUGACCAGUGUUUGGAAAUGAAAAUCCGAAUAAAGUCAGAUCAAGGCAAUUAUAGCACCCCUUGAAUCUCUGCAGAAGAAAACCCAAAUAUAACGGAAAUGACAAAAGAUUUAGAAGAUGUGAAACACUCUAUCCAUAACAAAACAUUGGCCCUACACAGAAUGCAGUUUACCCAUGCUGUGUUGGAAAAGAUGAAAGGAAAUGACAAAGAAGCACAGUUAAUGAAGGCAACAGGGAAGCACACACUAAGCCUUUGUUCACGUAUAUUCAGAUUAAAACAGGAGUCCACUGAAAUUGAAGACCAGGUACGAGAAGUUAGGAAAAGGAGACUAGCACUGAAGAAAGAAGCUCUUGGGAAAUUGAUGGAAAUGCGAGCAGCAAAAAAGAGAAAGGAGGAGAAGAUGCAAGCAUUGCAGAGUGAGAUGUUGACGAAAGGUCAGGGAAGCAUGGAGAAGUAUCUCAAGAUGGUUACUCUGGUGCAAAAUGUACUUCAGUGGGCGGCACACAGGCAUAAUACAAUGGCCCUUCCUCUCAGACCUUCAAACUUUGUGCAGCGCAGUGGCACGCCACUGCACGAAGCGGGGGGAAACGUUAGGGCACUGGAAAAGUUCCCUCAUUUCCGCAGAGAAGACUCAAAAGAAAACAUGGAAACGCCAGUGAAGAAAAUAAUAUUUACCCCCCGGCCAGUGACACCCAUGAUAUCACAGACGCAGGCAAACCUUUUGUGAGUAGUGUCAAACCUUGCUAUGUUGAGAAUGACUUCAACUACGGAAUAUGUUAUUGCUGUUGACAUUGUUAGGUGCUGUAUGACAAGUGAAAUCCCAACCGUUCACUUUUAACUUUUAUUGGGGUUCAAUAUCAUGUUAUUCAAGGAUAACAGGCCACGCUUCAGUAAACAAAUGUCAAAGCACACAACGAGUGUAAUUGGAGAAGACGUCCUGAGACGCUCGUAUGCAAAUAUCUCUGACAUUAUCCUAAAUUCAGACAAGGUUACUGCUGCUGAACACUCUACAAGUAGCAAGCACAGACUGUCUGUCUCCAGGGAGCUGUAAACUGGGGUUCUUUCGUAGUGGAGUCUCUCUUAUUUAAUGGGUUGAAAGAAACAAUAGGAAUGGGUCCAUAUCCAGUAGCGUUGAGGUGGGUCCGGGGAGGACGUCCUAGUCUGAGUGUUGAACUCGCUUGUUUUUUUUUGUUUGUUUUUUUUAAUUCAUUUGUACCGAACAGGUUUAAAUUUAUAGGAAAAAGCAAAGACUUCUGCAGGAGAAACACCAGAAGGCAAAAUAGACUCUGGACAAAUUUGCUGUCGGAGGAAGGGAUGACAUCCAGAGGCAGUUUGAAACCCAUCUCCACUCAGCACAUGCCACUUAUAUCCUGUAUUUGAUUCUCUAUGUUGUUGCUGUCGGGACGCUGUUGUACUACCUUGCCGAUAACAUGGUUCAGAAAAGCAGACUCACGCCACGACGGAUAAAAAUUUGGUACAUUUUAUUUCUCUAGACUGCUCAGGUUUCCUUUUUAAGUGUCGUAUCCUGUGAAGAGAUGCCGUCAUGUACAUAGAACACAAUCUCAAUGUUCCUUAAUAUUGCACUGUUAGUUUUUCUGAUUUAAAGUUGUGAUUUAUGUUGUAUAAUCAGGGUUUCUCUUUUUUUUCUCAAAACAAAUUGCAUCUUUUUAGGAUCCCAAGUGAUCACUCAAACUUAACAUAAUAACAUCUAGCCUGAAAUCCAUACAAUAGCUUUGUUCUAAAUCCAAUGUUUUUUUUUUGAGUUUUGUAGGGUUUUGCUUCUGAUUGCUACUGCAUCAUGGACUUCAGUUACUGGUUUAUUCCCAAAACCUGGAGCACACUACUGAGGCCACAGUUUACAGGUUUCUAGAGGUGCUGGUGCGAUCUUCCUAUUAGUUUUGAUAUUUAUUUCUCCAAAAACACCUCAGAGUGUUGUUUUUUAAAUGGCUUGAGCAGUACUGGGAAUGUUGUCAAUGAACACAGAUUAGCUGUUUCCUGCAAUGUGCAUUUUCUAUUUAUGUAGCAUUUGUUUGCACUUAUCUGCCCAAUAAAGCAAAAACGUGUUCUGUGUUUAAUUACUGCAUCAGGAUUAUGAGCACCAGGUUUCCACUGUGUGUCUGUUAAAACAGCCCAUUUUCUAAAACAACAGUUUCCACAGAUAAAGGGUUACUUUUAUUUAGGGUGCUACCUUUCAGGUACUUCAUUGAAACACCAGGCAGCUUACUAAUUGUACAACAGAUUGCAGAGCAACCCUUUGUGGUAAAUUUCAGUUCAUUUUCAAAAAGCAUUAAACGUCAUUCCAAAUUUUGUUUGGAAUGAUUGGGUGUACUUCUAUGUGGUAAAUGUUUCCAUAUUAACAAUUAUAGGAAAGGUGAUGUUAAGACCAGCACCACAGUUGCACUGUAAUAGGUUAUGCCUAAUAUUACUUAAACAUCUGUUUGUCUUCUUUUAGGCUUAUCUAGCAACACUGGUUCAGUCUCCAAACAUAUCACAAUGUUGCCACCUACUGUUGAUUUUGAUUCCUUCCACCUACCACCCAGUGAACACUGCAUCUUUGGAAUGGUGCAAGUGCAAGACGUGUUCUUGUAUUUACAGUAUUACAGCGUGUCAGUGCUAACCGCACUCUGCACACCUGUCCUGAGACUGAUGCUAGCUCUGAAAGAGAUGUAUAUUGUGCCUGAAAAAACCCAAGCAAGUUUAAAAAAGUAACGAAGUAGCUAAACAGAUGUUUACCGUAAGCUGUGAAUGUUAAUAGAGAACAGGCAACUGAUUCGUGGAAAUUAAAUACUUUUCAUACGUUAUCAUAACAUUUCUACUAUUGCAAUACCAGGACAAAUGUUUGGAAUACUGAAAGUGUUUUGAGCAGUCAUGCAAGUGUAUCGGUUGUCGUCUUUUUUUUCAAUUUAGAACUUCUAAACUGUGUAACUAAUAAUUUGAAUAGGUGCAUCAGUUUGUUUUCAUUGUAACCUUUAACCUGCUUUUUUGUGUGUUAUUUGAACACAGUUUUUUAUUCUUUGUGAAGGGAUUUGAGAGAGAUCCAAUGUGGUGUUUAUUUAUUUAUUUAUUUAUUUAAUAGGUACCUAAUGAACAUUUCAAUAGGAUAUUUAUCUUUUUGUAAUUCCUGUAAAACAAGAAUCAGUGUAGCUUACUGCCAUUUCAUUUAAUGAUCAGCACAAAAACAAUGUGUAAAAUCUGAAAUGGAGAUAAGAGGUUUAUGUAUACUCACAUUGUUUUCAUUAGGAGUUGCGUACCGUGCACUAACAGUGCUUAAGUGUAUAUAUGGUUUUCUACCUGGAAAAAGCUGGAUAUAAGAUGAAACUGUUACAAUAAGCUGCUACGUGUCAUUGAAUUGACUUCUUUACUGCAGCUCGAUUAGAGAGGUGCGGCAUUGAGGCAAACCAAAGGUGCUACUAAAUGGGGAAGGGGUGAAGCUGAAUACAUCAAAUGGGUUGAUAUGGAAGCCAGGGGUUUCAGCAAAAUACAGCCUUUUCUCACAAUUGAAUGCAAUGAUGACCAUAAUUUUGCUAUUACUUAACACCUAAUAACAGAAGAGUUGCCUUUUUGUUGCUCUUGACAACCAUACUGACAACUGGUCCACAAAUUACACCACGUAACACAAUUUUUGUUCCUGGGUAGUAAGUGUUAUUUCCUAAUU